GAGCAGCAAAGUUUAAUUAGUCAAUUGCUAAAAGUUUACAAUGAUUAUAGAAAGGGGGAAAGAUAUUGUGCGUUCUGCUUCAGUGUGAAUAAUUAAUCACGUUAAAGUUGUUUUUAUUCGAACACGAAGGAACUAUUAAACGACCGUAACCUAUAAUAAGGAUUAAUAAUAUUAAUAAUAGCCUAAUUCCGUAAUCUGUGGUAUAUGACAUCGGUUUGUUGAAACAGAACCAACUAUUACCAUAUAACGAUGUUUCGAGCUAAUAACCUAUUUUUGUACCAAAAGAAGAAUUUACUUGUUGGAAUAAUAUGUUUGUUUCUGUGUUGUAUUUGGAUUUUAAUGUGGAUUCCACAUCAAACUAAUGAACUUACCAACAAGAAGUUGAAGAACAUGUGGUUGAACUUGCCUUUCAUUUCCAAAGGAACGCUGAACGAGGACAAACUUGAAAAUUAUCCAGAAAGUAGCGUUAAAUUAGACAAAGUUCCACUAAAAGUCUUCAACUUGACAGUCCAGGUAUUUAUCACAGACUUAUCUGUUGGUGAUUCGGGAAAAGCGCUAUAGAUAACGUCAUACCUAACAAACGACCGGAUUUCAUGAGUGAGUUGAUCUGGAGCCUUCAGAUGCCCCAGCCGUUGGUGGUGGCGCCCUCUCUGAGCAGUCUUUUUGUUCUUCCCCAUCUAAGCAUGUAUCCAGAGAAGAUUUUGGCUGCUAUUAUUAUAUCUCCUAUCAUUCCUUCGAGUAUGAAGGCUGAAGACUACGUAAAAAUUAAGGUUCCAACCUUGGUAAUCAGUGGGGACAAAGACCAAAAGAAUAACUUAAAACCCGCUAAAGCCUUGGAGAAGAUUCCAGGAAGUGAGCUCCGUAUUUUCCCGCACGCCUCCUCUCCUGCUCAUCAAAGUCAACCGAAACUUUUUCAUAAAGAGCUGUACAACUUCCUGAAGAAGUUCAAGUAACGUUAUCACUAGAAGUGGAACAACUUGUUAUGUAU